rnacentral:lncRNA from 1 species
GUUCACUCAACGAAGCUUCAUCAAGUCCCCAGAUAUGCCAGUGUUCUAGGCUCCAGGGACAUCAGUGAAGAAAUAAGACAGACCCCCUACCCACGUGGAGCGCACAUCCCUUUGGAAGAGAGAACAAGGACACGAGUGCCCACCUGGUCAUCAAUUCAUUUGCUCAACAGUUACUUAUCAAAGGCACUGGGGACACAGUGAUGACAAACUCAGACGCUGUCCUUGACCUCCUGGAGCAGGUCCAAUGGGCAAGUCAGAUAUUAAACUCCAAAUCACACAAACAAACAUGCAACUGCAAACUGUGAUGGCCUCGAUGAAGAAGAAACACGGGUAUGAAAGAUGGCUCCGGCUUCAGUGUAGAGAAGAGACAGAAGGCAGGAGGGCAAGGAGGACACCAGUGGCGGUAUUACAGUGGGCCAGGCAAGCAGUGACAGAGGUGUGGGCCAAGGGUGUGACCUGGGGAAUGUAGAGAAGUGGUUGGGGCUAAGAUCUGCUUCAUAUAAUAGGUCGAAUUGACAGGUCUACGAUUGGGCUACGUGGAAACGAGGGGAAGAUCAAAGUCAAGGAAGAUGCUCAGAUUUUCAGCUCAAGCAACUUGGUGAACCUACUGCUAUUCAGUGAGAUGGGGCUGAUGGGGAAAGCACAGACUAAGUUGAAGGUGGAAGAGAUCAAGUGGAUCAGGCCUUUUCUGUUCCCUCCCCUGCCUCUAAUCCUUGGAAGAGAAUCUCUGCUCAUCCCUUUGCCUUAUUUCCUCACAUGACCAAGGACUGUAACAGGGGAGAACAAAAUGCCUUGGCAGUGGGACCCUCUGGCCCUGCCUGAUUGACCAUCUGGGAGACAGGGAGGCCAGCAGCCAGGAUCUGAUGUUGUGCAUUGAAUUGCAACACAAGAUGGAUAAUACAUGCAAUUUGUACUGAAGGAGCAGGCGAGGGUGGCAGGGGCACCUGGACCUGAGUGAAGACGUAAUGAAUUACACAAGGACCAAGGUCUUCCUGUGUCACCACUCAACUCCUCCAAACACCCACCUUCCCCAACUAAGCAAGAUCCCCAUCCGCUCAGAGAAACGAGGGACCUGGCUGGGGCUGACGUCUCCAGGAGCACUGUCCAGUAGAACUUUCUGC